GACGAACGCUGGCGGCGUGCCUAAUACAUGCAAGUCGAACGAAGCUGUUUUAACUGGUGCUUGCACCGACUUAAACAACUGAGUGGCGAACGGGUGAGUAACACGUGGGUAACCUGCCCCAAAGCGGGGGAUAACAUUUGGAACCAGAUGCUAAUACCGCAUAACCACAGAAACCACAUGGUUUCUGUGUCAAAGAUGGUUUCGGCUAUCACUUUGGGAUGGACCCGCGGCGUAUUAGCUAGUUGGUAAGGUAAUGGCUUACCAAGGCAAUGAUACGUAGCCGAACUGAGAGGUUGAUCGGCCACAUUGGGACUGAGACACGGCCCAAACGCCUACGGGAGGCAGCAGUAGGGAAUCUUCCACAAUGGACGAAAGUCUGACGGAGCAACGCCGCGUGAGUGAAGAAGGUUUUCGGAUCGUAAAACUCUGUUGUCAGAGAAGAACGUGUGCGAGAGUAACUGUUCGUGCAGUGACGGUAUCUGGCCAGAAAGCCACGGCUAACUACGUGCCAGCAGCCGCAGUAA
rnacentral:rRNA from 1 species